rnacentral:rRNA from 1 species
UACGUAGGUGGCAAGCGUUGUCCGGAUUUACUGGCGUAAAGAGCGCGCAGGCGGUCGUUCAAGUCGCGUGUGAAAGCCCCCGGCUCAACUGGGGAGGGUCACGCGAUACUGAUCGACUCGAAGGCAGGAGAGGGUAGUGGAAUUCCCGGUGUGAGUGGUGGAAAUGCGUAGAUAUCGGGAAGAACACCUAUGGCGAAGGCAGCACUCUGGGACGGUACUGACGCUGAGACGCGAAAGCGUGGGGAGCGAACAGG